rnacentral:rRNA from 1 species
UUCUAAACUUAAUUUUAUUGAAACCUGUACCAAGAACGGACACACGUCCCCAAGAUGAGUAUUCUAAGGCGAGCGAGAAAACUAGUGUUAAGGAACUCUGCAAAAUGACCCCGUAAGUUCGCAAGAAGGGGCGCCUAUGGUAACACAUAGGCCACAGUAAAUUAUGAGGGGCAACUGUUUAUCAAAAACACAACUCUCUGCUAAACCGCAAGGUGAUGUAUAGGGGGUGAAGCCUGCCCAGUGCCCGAAGGUUAAGUGGAUGCGUUAGCUUAUGCGAAGCGUUGAAAUGAAGCCCGGGUGAACGGCGGCCGUAACUAUAACGGUCCUAAGGUAGCGAAAUUCCUUGUCGGCUAAAUACUGACCUGCACGAAAGGCAUAAUGAUCUCUCAACUGUCUCAACACUAGACUCGGUGAAAUUAUGGUCCCAGUGAAAACGCUGGGUUCCCGCAUCAAGACGAAAAGACCCCAUGGAGCUUUACUAUAACUUCGUAUUGGAAUUUGGCCUAACAUGUGUAGGAUAGGUGGGAGACUUUGAAGCUGAGACGCCAGUAGCAGUGGAGUCAACCUUGAAAUACCACCCUUGUUAUGUUGAAUUUCUAACUUACCAUCAUAAUCAGGUGGGAGGACAGUGCGUGGUGGGUAGUUUGACUGGGGCGGUCGCCUCCUAAAGAGUAACGGAGGCGUUCAAAGGUACACUCAGUACGGUCAGAAACCGUAUGUAGAGCGCAAAGGCAGAAGUGUGCUUGACUGUGAGACAUACAAGUCGAGCAGGUGCGAAAGCAGGACUUAGUGAUCCGGCUGUACAUUGUGGAAUGGCAGUCGCUCAACGGAUAAAAGUUACCCUGGGGAUAACAGGCUAAUCUUGCCCAAGAGAUCACAUCGACGGCAAGGUUUGGCACCUCGAUGUCGGCUCAUCGCAUCCUGGAGCUGGAGUCGGUUCCAAGGGUUGGGCUGUUCGCCCAUUAAAGCGGUACGCGAGCUGGGUUCAAAACGUCGUGAGACAGUUUGGUCCCUAUCUGAUGUGGGCGUUGGAAUAUUGAUGAGAGCCGCUCUUAGUACGAGAGGACCGGAGUGGACGUACCGCUGGUGUUCCAGUUGUUCCGCCAGGAGCAUGGCUGGGUAGCUAAGUACGGAAAGGAUAACCGCUGAAAGCAUCUAAGUGGGAAGCCUCCUCAGAGAUUAGUAUUCCCUUGAAAUUCCUUAUAGACUAUGAGGUUGAUAGGCUGGAUGUGUAAGCACAGUAAUGUGUUGAGCUGACCAGUACUAAUAAAUUGAAAGGUUUAAAAG